UACAGAGGCCACGAGCGUUAGGCGGAAUCACUGGGCUUAAAGCGUGUGUAGGUGGAUGACUAAGUACCUUGUGAAAUCCCACGGCUCAACCGUGGAACUGCUUGGUAUACUGGUUGUCUUGAGGCACUCAGGGGCGAGCGGAACAAAUGGUGGAGCGGUGAAAUGCGUAGAUAUCAUUUGGAACGCCAAUGGUGAAGACAGCUCGCUGGGGGGUGUACUGACACUGAGACACGAAAGCCAGGGGAGCAAACAGG
rnacentral:rRNA from 1 species